ACACUGUAAAAAAUAAUUCAGUGGCUUAGUAAAUUUCACAAAAAUAAAGAGCUAUAUUUACUUAAUAAAAUCUUUUGAAAUCAUUUAAGUGAUAUUUUGAGUGGGUCAGGUUAAAAAUAAUAAUUAAAAAUCCAACAAAUAAUUUCUCUAAAAUUUACAUAUAUUAUUUAAGUUUAUUUAAUGAAAAUAAAUAAGUAUUUAACUAACUAAUUAUAUUUUUAACAUACCCUCAAUAUUUCUGGUGAAUUCUAAUAUAAAUAUUUGAUAAUUAUUUACUUGUACUGAUCUGUUUUAGAAACUAAAAUUAUUAAGUAUUUCCUACCAAUUUUCCUAAAUAAAGUUCCAGCUUAAUAAAAAACGGUUUAAAUAAAUUAAGUAAAUUUCGCGGCUAAAGUGAUCACGUGUGCAGCUCCGCAGGAAAAAAAAAAUCUGCUUUCCUCAGCAGAGACGUCGACUAGCCAUACUCCUCACAACUCCUGGUUAAGUAAGUUUCGUAACUUAAUCGAGGUCACCUGAAGGACGGCGUUCCUGAGUUUCCUCAGCAACGGCAAGACCCGCACUCCUCUCAUAUCGGGAAGUUUAACGAGUUUCGCGGCUCAAGCAAGAGGCACCUGUCACUGAAGGACUGCUUUUCUCAGCAACGACGUGAACAGCAUUACUCGAAUUUCCUGGUUCAGCUGAUCUACCCGUCUUCGUACACGCAGAGUUGGCAUAGGAGGUCAUAAAAAUCUACAUCCUUCGGGACAAUGAUGGGGCAGUCAGCGAUGUAGGAGUUGUGAUUGAGGGCAUCACUGUCCUCCGCAGUCUUGGGAAUCUCAGCAGAGCCUGCUGCUAUCUUUUGGGAGUCACGUAUGCAUUGGAUUUGAGAUAUCCCAAGACCCACAAAUACAGGUCCUUCUCAAAAAAUUAGCUUAUUGUGAUAAAGUUCAUUAUUUUCCAUAAUGUAAUGAUAAAAAUUAAACUUUCAUAUAUUUUAGAUUCAUUGCACACCAACUGAAAUAUUUCAGGUCUUUUAUUGAUUUAAUACUGAUGAUUUUGGCAUACAGCUCAUGAAAACCCCAAAUUCUCAAAACAUUAGCAAAUUUCAUCCGACCAAUAAAAGAAAAGUGUUUUUAAUACAAAAAAAAAAGUCAACCUUCAAAUAAUUAUGUUCAGUUAUGCACUCAAUACUUGGUUGGGAAUCCUUUUGCAGAAAUGACUGCUUCAAUGCGGCGUGGCAUGGAGGCAAUCAGCCUGUGGCACUGCUGAGGUGUUAUGGAGGCCCAGGAUGCUUCGAUAGCGGCCUUAAGCUCAUCCAGAGUGUUGGGUCUUGCGUCUCUCAACUUUCUCUUCACAAUAUCCCACAGAUUCUCUAUGGGGUUCAGGUCAGGAGAGUUGGCAGGCCAACUGAGCACAGUAAUACCAUGGUCAGUAAACCAUUCACCAGUGGUUUUGGCACUGUGAGCAGGUGCCAGGUCGUGCUGAAAAACGAAAUCUUCAUCUCCAUAAAGCUUUUCAGCAGAUAGAAGCAUGAAGUGCUCCAAAAUCUCCUGAUAACUAGCUGCAUUGACCCUGCCCUUGAUAAAACACAGUAGACCAACACCAGCAGCUGACAUGGCACCCCAGACCAUCACUGACUGUGGGUACUUGACACUGGACUUCAGGCAUUUUGGCAUUUCCUUCUCCCCAGUCUUCCUCCAGACUCUGGCACCUUGAUUUCCGAAUGACAUCCAAAAUUUGCUUUAUGCUAUAUUAUAAUGCUAUAUGCCAAAAUCAUCACUAUUAAAACAAUAAAAGACCUGAAAUAUUUCAGUUGUUGUGCAAUGAAUCAAAAAUAUAUGAAAGUUUAAUUUUUAUCAAUACAUUAUGGAAAAUAAUGAACUUUUAUCAUAAUAUAACAAUUUUUUGAGAAGGACCUGUACUCACUUGAGUUGUUCCAAAAACUGUUUCUUGAGCUGGAUCCUCCAAAACUCUCUGUUAAUGUUCAGAGGUUAAAAAAUUAUCUUCUUGCACAGUAGUGGUUCAUGAUCAUCCCACAGAAUGGGUAUUCCUGAUGGAAGUGUUUUUGUUAUCGGAUUAAUUCUGUUGAAGGGAUAGUUCACUCAAAAAGAUGAUGUUGUCAUAAUUUACUCUCCCUCAAUUUGUCCCAAACCUGUACGAGUUUCUUUCUUCUGUUGAACACAAAAGAUAUUUUAAGUGAAGUGACGUGACAUUCAGCCAAGUAUUAAAGAGUGUUGGUUAACGCAUUUAAAGGUUGCCAUUGACUUUGCAUAGUAGCCUUUUUUUUUUUUUUUUUCUACCAUGGAAGUCAAUGGCAACUUUCAACUGUCUGUUAACCAACAUUCAUUAAAAUAUCUUUUGUGUUCAACAGAAGAAAGAAACUUUACAGGUUUGGGACAACUUUAGGGCGAGUACAUUAUGACAACAUCAUCUUUUUGGGUGAACUAUCCCUUUAAUAUUGAUGUAAGUGUUGCUUUUUUUUUAUGGUUUAAUGAGUGGUAAUGAGUGUGACUGCAAAUGGCUGGUAUGCACCAGGAACAAAGUAAGAUGUCAUUUCUCUUACGGCUAUCAUAUUUUACAUGUAAUCUACUUGAAUACUAAGAUGGAUGAAAUGUUUCAUAAGGUUUAAUCAUUUCCCUUAUGGCUGCUUUACAGUUUUUAAUUUUUGCAAUCUACUGGAAUAUUAAAAUGGAUAAAAUGUUUCAAAGGUUGAUUUUAGACUUUGUCUGAUGUUUAAUUGAUAAAUAAAUGUUUAAUAAAAAAUGUGUUUCUUUCUUUA